rnacentral:rRNA from 1 species
CCUGAGUACGACGGAGCACGUGAAAUUCCGUCGGAAUCUGGGAGGACCAUCUCCUAAGGCUAAAUACUCUCUAGUGACCGAUAGUGAACCAGUACCGUGAGGGAAAGGUGAAAAGUACCCCGGAAGGGGAGUGAAAGAGAACUUGAAACCGUGUGCUUACAAGUAGUCAGAGCCCGUUAAUGGGUGAUGGCGUGCCUUUUGUAGAAUGAACCGGCGAGUUACGAUCUGAUGCAAGGUUAAGCAGAAAAUGUGGAGCCGUAGCGAAAGCGAGUCUGAAUAGGGCGAAUGAGUAUUUGGUCGUAGACCCGAAACCAGGUGAUCUACCCUUGGUCAGGUUGAAGUUCAGGUAACACUGAAUGGAGGACCGAACCGACUUACGUUGAAAAGUGAGCGGAUGAACUGAGGGUAGCGGAGAAAUUCCAAUCGAACUUGGAGAUAGCUGGUUCUCUCCGAAAUAGCUUUAGGGCUAGCCUCAAGUGAUGAUUAUUGGAGGUAGAGCACUGUUUGGACGAGGGGCCCCUCUCGGGUUACCGAAUUCAGACAAACUCCGAAUGCCAAAUAAUUUAACUUGGGAGUCAGAAUGUGGGUGAUAAGGUCCAUAUUCGAAAGGGAAACAGCCCAGACCACCAGCUAAGGUCCCAAAAUAUAUGUUAAGUGGAAAAGGAUGUGGCGUUGCCCAGACAACUAGGAUGUUGGCUUAGAAGCAGCCAUCAUUUAAAGAGUGCGUAAUAGCUCACUAGUCGAGUGACACUGCGCCGAAAAUGUACCGGGGCUAAACAUAUUACCGAAGCUGUGGAUUGUCCUUUGGACAAUGG